GUUUUACCUGAGUCAGAAUUGCCUGAAUUUUUCUCUGAGCAACCUGGCAAGCAUAGAAGUGACCAGUUAUUUUGACAACCACUUGGUCAUUCUCAUCAGGUGUCUGGUCAUGAGGGACAACAACUUCUGCACUUGACAAAUUCUGAAGUUUAUUCACCGUUUUGCCUCCUUUUCCAAUAACUCUGCCAGCAACCAAGGAUGACACUGUGAUAUAAGCUUCAAGUUUAACCUCUUCUUUAGGACUAACAAAAUUUUCUUCUUUAGUUUUUCCAUAAAUUCUUCCCUGAGCCUUGAACUGAGCCUCUGGUGGUCCAGUGAUCAUUACCAUCCUCACUUUAGCAUCUGGUGCUUCUGCUGGCAAAGCGAGAAAGCUGCUUGAUGUGCUUGGCCCUGCUUGCCGAUGAUGACACCGACUGAUAGAGCCUGGAUAAACAGAUGAACAGUCUCCGUUUCUGAUUGCUCAAACUGCGGCUUUGGCACAUGCCUCAACAUUGCCUUUAACUGUAAUGGUGCAUUCUGGAUUAUACAGCAUCAAUUCCUGAAAGCACCUUGAUGGCCUUGAGGGCCCAGCUCUCCUCUGGGCAGUCCAUGAACG
rnacentral:lncRNA from 1 species